rnacentral:rRNA from 1 species
GAUGCGCAGCUUACCAUGCAGUCGAGCGGUAACAGGGGGUGCUUGCACCCCGCUGACGAGCGGCGGACGGGUGAGUAAUGCAUAGGAAUCUGCCCAGUAGUGGGGGAUAGCCCGGGGAAACCCGGAUUAAUACCGCAUACGCCCUUUGGGGGAAAGCAGGGGAUCUUCGGACCUUGCGCUAUUGGAUGAGCCUAUGUCGGAUUAGCUAGUUGGUGGGGUAAAGGCCUACCAAGGCGACGAUCCGUAGCUGGUCUGAGAGGAUGAUCAGCCACAUCGGGACUGAGACACGGCCCGAACUCCUACGGGAGGCAGCAGUGGGGAAUAUUGGACAAUGGGGGCAACCCUGAUCCAGCCAUGCCGCGUGUGUGAAGAAGGCUUUCGGGUUGUAAAGCACUUUCAGUGAGGAGGAAAACCUUCUGGUUAAUACCCAUGAGGCUUGACGUUACUCACAGAAGAAGCACCGGCUAACUCCGUGCCAGCAGCCGCGGUAAUACGGAGGGUGCAAGCGUUAAUCGGAAUUACUGGGCGUAAAGCGCGCGUAGGUGGUUUGAUAAGCGAGAUGUGAAAGCCCCGGGCUUAACCUGGGAACGGCAUUUCGAACUGUCAGGCU